UGGGGAAUUUUGGACAAUGGGCGAAAGCCUGAUCCAGCAAUGCCGCGUGUGUGAAGAAGGCCUUCGGGUUGUAAAGCACUUUUGUCCGGAAAGAAAUCCUUGGCUCUAAUACAGUCGGGGGAUGACGGUACCGGAAGAAUAAGCACCGGCUAACUACGUGCCAGCAGCCGCGGUAAUACGUAGGGUGCAAGCGUUAAUCGGAAUUACUGGGCGUAAAGCGUGCGCAGGCGGUUUGCUAAGACCGAUGUGAAAUCCCCGGGCUCAACCUGGGAACUGCAUUGGUGACUGGCAGGCUAGAGUAUGGCAGAGGGGGGUAGAAUUCCACAUGUAGCAGUGAAAUGCGUAGAGAUGUGGAGGAAUACCGAUGGCGAAGGCAGCCCCCUGGGCCAAUACUGACGCUCAUGCACGAAAGCGUGGGGAGCAAACAGGAUUAGAUACCCUGGUAGUCCACGCCCUAAAACGAUGUCAACUAGUUGUUGGGGAUUCAUUUCCUUAGUAACGUAGCUAACGCGUGAAGUUGACCGCCUGGGGAGUACGGUCGCAAGAUUAAAACUCAAAGGAAUUGACGGGGU
rnacentral:rRNA from 1 species